ACACUAGAAAACGUAGGUACUUGAUAAUAUAGCUUCUACCCAGGAUUACAUAGUAUAAUGCCAGCUGUGCAACAAAAUUUUACCAUCAUAGUACGUGCAGUAGCAAUAAAUUAUUAUUUUAUUCUGAUUAAGGCGUGGAUCGAUCCCGGCUUGGAUAGGCCUACUCGUUUCGGGAUAAUACUGCUGGAUGUUGCGCUUUUCCAAGUGGAACAAGGGGCGAAAUAGCAAUUAACACGAGGAUUAUCAGUUGUUUUAACAUGAAUUCAACAGAACUCGUUCUGAGCUUGCAGUAGUAGGCCAAACUGACCGUAAGCCUCUAACAGUCAAAAGGUUUCUUCGAAUUGCUUGGAUGAUUUUAAAUGCAUUUUGACUUUCGGCUCAGGAACACAACCAGAUUACAGUCUGCGAAUGGGAUAUGGACGGACAAGACGGAGGUCGACAUGAAUACAAAAUGAAGAAAUGGUGGAUAAACUGCAGAAUGCUGUAAACAACUUUUCUUAUUAUCAUCGCAGCCAGAAUUCUAUUGACUGGUACGUUUAUGCUUCUACAAAGAGAGUUGAUACCAGAGAGAUGGCACACAUGCAAAACGAUCCGUCCUACCAAUCGCGUGUCGAUGCCGCUAUCUUCUGGAUAAUCCGCGUUGGGAUACCAGUCGUAGCUUUUAUUUGUAUCGUCGUCAUUGCUUUCCUUAUUUGCUUGUGUUGCCGGAAGAGAAAAACCG